CUUAGUCUUAAUAUACUAUCCCGAACUCUAACUCUUAACAUAAUCCUUGCACACACUCUGUUCGAGUCACAUGCGCCUAAAUGCUCUCCUCUGAUCAUUAUGUAAAGGGAGAGCUUCGAUUUCGGUAUCCAGUGGGCGUGUCUAUGGGCGUGUCUUACAAAGCGAGAGAACACGAGAAGCUCAAAUCGGACGCUGGUCUCAAAUAAAAGCGAAUGGUGGAGCAGACAGGCAGAUAGAUCUUGUGCUUAUACAGAAAGAGAUGGACAGAACGUCCAGCUGCUUAGUCCUCUCUCUCAUUCUGUCCAUUUUCCUCUUCGUGGGAAUGGCGCAGAGUGAUGCAGAAGUCCUGGAUGGAGGGAUACAAAGGGAAUGCUAUUUCUCCCUGGAACAAAUGCUUGAUUGCAUUCAACUUGCUUGUUUGGCUUCAAACAAACACUGCAACAACAAUUCUGAUCAUUAUUUUGUUUGUGGAAUAGAUGAAUGCCGCAGAGUCAAAUCGAAGUGUGAGAAGCCCAGGAACAAGGAUUUCACACCUGAGGAAAUUUGCGAGGAAGAUGAGUUUUCAAAAGUGGACACACAUUGUGUGAAGAACAGUCAUAAAUACCUGAAUGGUUUGCAAGAGUGCAAAACGAAAGGAUACCUGGAAGCAAAGAGGACCUGCUUUGACGCAGUCUAUAGAAAACGCAUUCAGAUUGAAGAUUGCACGCUGAACAAUUGUUUCAGUGAUGUACACGACUGCCUGAAGGAUUAUUACUUCAACUUUCCCUUGAAUCUAGCACAGCGCAGAACGUUUAACACCACCACCUGUGCCUUCAUUGCUGUGGAAUACGCGCAAGAUUGUGAAAUGUUCACUUCUCGCAAUUGCUCACUGGAGCUCAAGCAGUGCCACAUCGCGUGCAGCACCUCCUGGGUAAGCGUGAUGGUCCCUGUGUUCGUAAUCCUGAUAUCCGUCAGCCUCUUUAUCGCAGGAGGCCUGUUCUAUCUCUGUUCCUACUCAACUCAGCAAAGACGGCACGCAGCCAUGUACCAGUUUGAAUAACCGUCUUCCCUGACCAUUGCUCUUUUCAAGGCUUUAUGAAAGCAACUAUAACGGUGAUGUGAUACAAUGGAAAAAAAUUGAAGGGGGGUGGGGGGGGGUUAUUUUAAUAUCACCAAGAACAUUUACACUGGAGGGAGCGGGGGGGGGAGCAUGUGUGUGCAUCACAUAGGAGUGGGGGGGCAUGUGUGUGCAUCACAUGUACAUAUAUUUGCAUUCAAUUACGUGAUGUGUGGUUGCUUAGAUUUUAACCACAGUCGUUCAAAUUUAUUUUGAACACACAAAGUAUUGUUUUACCGUAGAUAUAGGGCAAGCACUCCUCCUUUGGGAUGUACACUCCUUUUGGGUACUUAUAUGCAGACGAGGUAUUGUUUUGUUUUUUUUAAUUUGUGUCCUUGUUCGCUUUGUUUCCACAUUUAGCGAUAAAAUAAUUAUUCAUUCUUAAUGUGAACUUCAAUCUUCGGUUGUAUUUGACCUUGCUGUUUGGUCACACCACCGUGUCAGGUCGACACGUAUAAGAAAGGAAGUAGAAUCUGUAACUUUGCUCACGUCUACCUUAUGGUAGUGAAGUUCGAUGACAUCAUGAUGGACCCACAUAGGGAAGAAGAGGGAGUGAUCGUGGAAGAGGCUAAUAAUCACGUGAGAGCAUGAAGGAAAUCACGAUGCGGUGAGGGACCUUCGUCGUAUUGAAGAUCCGACUGAAACGCGAUGUGACGACAUUCCAUCAAACGUGACGCGACACCAUUGUAUAAGCUUGUCUGCACUGUAACGGUGACCUGUUUGGUGUUGCCAUCUCAGCCGACUGCUCGUGAUGCUGUGACCCCAGGUCCAAAUCUCAUACUGUGUUGACCUGUCUGAUGUCCUUGUCCUACAAAAAGGGGUGGGAGUUUGGAGGAGACUAAUUGAGAAAUAGAAAAUGGGGAAUGGGGAAUGAGGAAUGAUAGUCGAGGAGGAAGGAGAGAAGAAACACAGACAGGGAAUCUGGGUGAAUGGGGGUGGAUGUUGGGAGGGGGGAGUUUGAAAUUUUGCAGACGUAAUAUGUAGAUGCUCCCUCAUCUUUCAUACAAGCCCCAUCAACUGUAAAACUGAUGACGCAUAAUUUUGGGAAUCAUCAAAAAUAUCAAAGCCACAAUUAAGCAAUCUUUUUGUUAAACAACCUUCAGCACCUGUAAACCUGCAAUGAAAGUUUGACAUUUUCAAAAAAAGAAACAGUUUGAAAAAAAUGAAAUGGAAGUAUCAAAGCUGGUGUGGGAACCUCGACAUGGAAAGAUGGAGCUCAGGAGUAUCAGAAUGAGAUUGAGGGAAAAGAUGGAGAUCCGUUUUGGGUGGAAUAGGUGGCAAUAUUGUGACUUAUUUUUGUUGUUGUUUUUUAUCGGUUUGUAUUAGUUUGUAUUACUCCGAAUAAAAAGUUUUGUUUUCCAAGUACCAGUGUGUGAUUUGUACAUCUAUUCUGUCACCUUUAACCAUUUGCACCCUGCCC
ensembl:lincRNA